AUUGAACGCUGGCGGCAUGCUUUACACAUGCAAGUCGAACGGUAACAGGCCGCAAGGUGCUGACGAGUGGCGAACGGGUGAGUAAUGCAUCGGAACGUGCCCAGUCGUGGGGGAUAACUACUCGAAAGAGUAGCUAAUACCGCAUACGAUCUAUGGAUGAAAGCGGGGGACCGUAAGGCCUCGCGCGAUUGGAGCGGCCGAUGUCAGAUUAGGUAGUUGGUGGGGUAAAGGCUCACCAAGCCAACGAUCUGUAGCUGGUCUGAGAGGACAACCAGCCACACUGGGACUGAGACACGGCCCAGACUCCUACGGGAGGCAGCAGUGGGGAAUUUUGGACAAUGGGCGCAAGCCUGAUCCAGCAAUGCCGCGUGCAGGAAGAAGGCCUUCGGGUUGUAAACUGCUUUUGUACGGAACGAAACGGCUCUGGUUAAUACCCGGGGCUAAUGACGGUACCGGAAGAAUAAGCACCGGCUAACUACGU
rnacentral:rRNA from 1 species